rnacentral:rRNA from 1 species
UACGUAGGGGCAAGCGUUAUCCGGAAUUAUUGGGCGUAAAGAGUGCGUAGGUGGUUACCUAAGCGCAAGGUUUAAUCUUGAGGCUCAACCUCAUUCUGCCUUGCGAACUGGGCUACUUGAGUGCAGGAGGGGAAAGCGGAAUUCCUAGUGUAGCGGUGAAAUGCGUAGAUAUUAGGAAGAACACCGGUGGCGAAGGCGGCUUUCUGGACUGUAACUGACACUGAGGCACGAAAGCGUGGGGAGCAAACAGGAUUAGAUACCCUGGUAGUCCCUGA